rnacentral:lncRNA from 1 species
GCCACAGGCCACAUCCUUGUGGUCUUAUUCUUCUGUCAUUUCUGCAAGGGCACGAGAGCAGAGGGGCUAUGUGCUCCCAAUGGAAACAAAAAAAUCCUUAAAAGUGGAAGAAGGUGGUAGGAAAGGUUAGAGUGAUACCAGGAGAACUCAAUCGACCACUACUAGCUUUGAAG